AGUUGGUCCGAGGAUUGUGAGUUAACACAGUCUCCCUCCCACAUCCAUAUCUGAUUAGCUGGGG
rnacentral:sRNA from 1 species